CCAAUACAAGUUUAAAUGGUGCGAAACUAAAUUAAAAUAUUUGGGCAUAUGGCUGACCAAAGACCCGUCCCAAUUAUACCACCAUAACUAUCUCCCCCUCCUACUCUCACUUCAGACAGACCUUAAGAAAUGGACCCCAUAUUACAUCUCCUGGUUCGGACGUAUCAAUGCGAUUAAAAUGAACGUGUUACCCAGGAUACUCUACCUAUUCCAAACAGUGCCAAUUACUCUCCCCAGAGCCUUUUUUAGCUCUAUGACGACUGCCAUCCGCAGAUUCGUCUGGAACUCUCGCCCAACCCGAAUAAAAAAAUCAACCCUGGAACUACCAAAACUGAUGGGAGGCACGGGACUGCCCUCCAUAGAGACAUAUUACCGCGCCGCUCACCUGCACAGACUGACGGACUGGCACGCACAACACCCAUUAAAACAAUGGGUGACCAUUGAGCUAGAACAAACCGAUAGAAAAAUACCCUCUAGGCUUUGGCUACAUACAGCCACAUACACUGACCUGCACACCGAGAACCCACUAAUUGACGCAACGCUCCGAGU